rnacentral:lncRNA from 1 species
GGGGACGCCCCAACAGCCCAAGGCCUAUGGGAAUGGGCAUCACUUCUCUCUCUAGGGAUGCCCAACUUGGAACACUUCCACUGGACUUCUGCUAUUGCUGCCUCCAAAAUCCAGCCUGAGACCAUGGUGGUGAGUUUGAUUUGCAGAACAUAGAUCACUGGAGCCUGGGAAGAAUGCUCAACACCAUGAAGAGAAAAAUAACAACCCUAGGACAUGGUUCCUUUGCUGAAAACCCUUCCAAGACCACAGAUGAAGAGGAGACCUCCUGUCCUUGGCUAGCUCUUGCUAGAGCCACGUACUGCUCCCUCCUCACUUUUAACUUCUUAAUUUUCUCAGGAAGGUUCCAGGACCCUCGUGGGAAGGAGCUGGGAGUUGUUACUCCGAAGACGUCCCUUUGAAGCACUGAGAGAAUGGGGAAAUGUGGUCAAGAAACAGUGCAUCCAAGAGAACAGGUCAGUCAUUUUACUGGCUACGGAGGAAGAGAGACCUUCACAGCAAGGACGGGCCUGCAAAUGAGGGCAGAAUGGGCAAAAGCAGGCCAAAAGAACAGUGUACUGGGAAGGGCAGAAUCAGGCCAAAUCUAUCUAUGAAAGACCUACUUGCAGACUAUUCUAUAUUCUAGAUCCUCCACUUGGGUCAUGGAGAAUGUAAAAUAAGUUUAGGCAAAUCAUUAAAACUGUUGCAGUUGUAAAUACCAUGUGAAAUGGUUUACUCCAGG